GAUGAACGCUGGCGGCGUGCCUAACACAUGCAAGUCGAGCGAAGCGGGGACGGGUGAGUAACAUGUGGAGAACCGCCUAUAAGACGGGGAAAACUUCGGGAAACCGGAGUCAAACCGGAAACUGAUCGCUGGUUCCGCGCUGCAUUAGCUAGUUGGUAAGGUAACGGCUUACCAAGGCAACGAUGCAUAGCCGACCUGAGAGGAUGACCGGCCACACUGGAACUGAGACACGGUCCAGACUCCUACGGGAGGCAGCAGUGGGGAAUCUUGCGCAAUGGGCGAAAGCCUGACGGAGCAACGCCGCGUGUGUGAUGAAGGUCUUCGGGUCGUAAAGCUCUGUUAUUAGGGAAGCGGUACCUGAACAAGAAGCCCCGGCUAACUCCGUGCCAGCAGCCGCGGUAAUUC
rnacentral:rRNA from 1 species